GACGAACGCUGGCGGCGUGCUUAACACAUGCAAGUCGAGCGGUAAGGCCCUUUUGGGGGUACACGAGCGGCGAACGGGUGAGUAACACGUGGGUGACCUGCCUUCAGCUCUGGGAUAAGCUUGGGAAACUGGGUCUAAUACCGGAUGUGACUGUCUGCCGCAUGGUGGGUGGUGGAAAGUUCUCGGGCUUUGGUCUGGGUUCGGCUGGGGAUGGGCCUGCGGCCUAUCAGCUUGUUGGUGGGGUGAUGGCCUACCAAGGCGACGACGGGUAGCCGGCCUGAGAGGGCGACCGGCCACACUGGGACUGAGACACGGCCCAGACUCCUACGGGAGGCAGCAGUGGGGAAUAUUGCGCAAUGGGCGGAAGCCUGACGCAGCGACGCCGCGUGGGGGAUGACGGCCUUCGGGUUGUAAACCUCUUUCGCCAUCGACGAAGGUUCUGUGGUUGUGAGGCUGCAGGGUUGACGGUAGGUGGAGAAGAAGCACCGGCCAACUACGUGCCAGCAGCCGCGGUAAUACGUAGGGUGCGAGCGUUGUCCGGAAUUAUUGGGCGUAAAGAGCUCGUAGGCGGUGUGUCGCGUCGGCCGUGAAAACCUGCAGCUUAACUGUGGGCGUGCGGUCGAUACGGGCAUCACUGGAGUUCGGCAGGGGAGACUGGAAUUCCUGGUGUAGCGGUGAAAUGCGCAGAUAUCAGGAGGAACACCGGUGGCGAAGGCGGGUCUCUGGGCCGAUACUGACGCUGAGGAGCGAAAGCGUGGGGAGCGAACAGGAUUAGAUACCCUGGUAGUCCACGCCGUAAACGGUGGGCGCUAGGUGUGGGGGCCAUUCCACGGUCU
rnacentral:rRNA from 1 species